rnacentral:rRNA from 1 species
ACGAAGGGGGCUAGCGUUGUUCGGAUUUACUGGGCGUAAAGCGCACGUAGGCGGGUCGUUAAGUCAGGGGUGAAAUCCCGGAGCUCAACUCCGGAACUGCCUUUGAUACUGGCGACCUUGAGGCUGGAAGAGGUUAGUGGAAUUCCCAGUGUAGAGGUGAAAUUCGUAGAUAUUGGGAAGAACACCAGUGGCGAAGGCGGCUCACUGGACUGGUACUGACGCUGAGGCGCGAAAGCGUGGGGAGCAAACGGGA